rnacentral:rRNA from 1 species
UAGGGAAUCUUCCGCAAUGGGCGAAAGCCUGACGGAGCAACGCCGCGUGAGUGAUGAAGGUCUUCGGAUCGUAAAACUCUGUUAUUAGGGAAGAACAACUGUGUAAGUAACUAUGCACGUCUUGACGGUGCCUAAUCAGAAAGCCACGGCUAACUACGUGCCAGCAGCCGCGGUAAUACGUAGGUGGCAAGCGUUAUCCGGAAUUAUUGGGCGUAAAGCGCGCGUAGGCGGUUUUUUAAGUCUGAUGUGAAAGCCCACGGCUCAACCGUGGAGGGUCAUUGGAAACUGGAAAACUUGAGUGCAGAAGAGGAAAGUGGAAUUCCAUGUGUAGCGGUGAAAUGCGCAGAGAUAUGGAGGAACACCAGUGGCGAAGGCGACUUUCUGGUCUGUAACUGACGCUGAUGUGCGAAAGCGUGGGGAUCAAACAGG